AACGAACGCUGGCGGCAUGCCUAACACAUGCAGGUCGAACGAGACCUUCGGGUCUAGUGGCGCACGGGUGCGUAACGCGUGGGAACCUGCCCUUAGGUUCGGAAUAACUCCCCGAAAGGGGUGCUAAUACCGGAUAAUGUCUUCGGACCAAAGAUUUAUCGCCUUUGGAUGGGCCCGCGUUGGAUUAGCUAGUUGGUAGGGUAAAAGCCUACCAAGGCGACGAUCCAUAGCUGGUCUGAGAGGAUGAUCAGCCACACUGGGACUGAGACACGGCCCAGACUCCUACGGGAGGCAGCAGUGGGGAAUAUUGGACGAGGGGCGAAAGCCUGAUCCAGCAAUGCCGCGUGAGUGAUGAAGGCCUUAGGGUUGUAAAGCUCUUUUACCCGGGAUGAUAAUGACAGUACCGGGAGAAUAAGCUCCGGCUAACUCCGUG
rnacentral:rRNA from 1 species